UCCCUGCUCCAGUGGUAGUGACAGGUGUAA
rnacentral:piRNA from 1 species